GACGGAGGGUGCAAGCGUUAUCCGGAAUGACUGGGCGUAAAGCGUCCGCAGGUGGCAGUUCAAGUCUGCUGUCAAAGACCGGGGCUUAACUUCGGAAAGGCAGUGGAAACUGAACAGCUAGAGUAUGGUAGGGGCAGAGGGAAUUCCUGGUGUAGCGGUGAAAUGCGUAGAGAUCAGGAAGAACACCCGUGGCGAAGGCGGUUCUCUGGGACGGUACUGACGCUGAGACGCGAAAGCGUGGGGAGCGAACAGG
rnacentral:rRNA from 1 species